GACGAACGCUGGCGGCGUGCUUAACACAUGCAAGUCGAACGGUAAGGCCCCUUCGGGGGUACACGAGUGGCGAACGGGUGCGUAACACGUGAGCAACCUGCCCUUGACUCUGGAAUAACAGUUGGAAACAGCUGCUAAUACUGGAUAUUCAUCGUCUCCUUCCUGGGGGGUGGUGGAAAGCGCCGGCGGUCAGGGAUGGGCUCGCGGCCUAUCAGCUUGUUGGUGAGGUAAUGACUCACCAAGGCGUCGACGGGUAGCCGGCCUGAGAGGGCGACCGGCCACACUGGGAAUGAGAGACGGCAGAGGGUCCUACGGGAGGAUGCAGUGGGGAAUAUUGCAAUGGGCGCAAGCCUGAUGCAGCAGCGCCGCGUGCGGGAUGACGGCCUUCGGGUUGUAAACCGCUUUCAGUAGGGACGAAGGGUGACUGACGGUACCUACAGAAGAAGGACCGGCUAACUACGUG
rnacentral:rRNA from 1 species